rnacentral:rRNA from 1 species
UACGAAGGGGGCUAGCGUUGCUCGGAAUCACUGGGCGUAAAGCGCACGUAGGCGGAUUGUUAAGUCAGGGUGAAUCCUGGAGCUCAACUCCAGAACUGCCUUUGAUACUGGCGAUCUUGAGUCCGGGAGAGGUGAGUGGAACUGCGAGUGUAGAGGUGAAAUUCGUAGAUAUUCGCAAGAACACCAGUGGCGAAGGCGGCUCACUGGCCCGGUACUGACGCUGAGGUGCGAAGCGUGGGAGCAACAGG